rnacentral:rRNA from 1 species
UACGUAGGGUGCAAGCGUUGUCCGGAGUUAUUGGGCGUAAAGAGCUCGUAGGCGGUCUGUCGCGUCUGCUGUGAAAACUCAGGGCUUAACCCUGAGCUUGCAGUGGGUACGGGCAGACUAGAGUGCGGUAGGGGAGACUGGAAUUCCUGGUGUAGCGGUGAAAUGCGCAGAUAUCAGGAGGAACACCGGUGGCGAAGGCGGGUCUCUGGGCCGUAACUGACGCUGAGGAGCGAAAGCAUGGGGAGCGAACAGG